UACGGAGGGUGCAAGCGUUAUCCGGAUUCACUGGGUUUAAAGGGUGCGUAGGCGGGUUGGUAAGUCCGUGGUGAAAUCUCCGAGCUUUAACUCGGAAACUGCCGUGGAUACUAUCAAUCUUGAAUAUCUGGAGGUAAGCGGAAUAUGUCAUGUAGCGGUGAAAUGCUUAGAGAUGACAUAGAAACACCAAAUUGCGUAGGGCAGCUUACUACACGAUCUUGACGCUGAGGCACGAAAAGCGUGGGGGAGCAAAACA
rnacentral:rRNA from 1 species